CCGGGUCAAAUUGACUCUAGUAGGGAGUCCGUUUUAUACAGGUAGUGACUCCCUAAUGGAGUCAGAUUGACCUCUUU
rnacentral:pre_miRNA from 1 species